CUACGGGGAUGAUACUUAACUUGAACUCUCUCUUUCUGAUGAUCUCAUGGAUUGUGAGAUUGAGGCCACAUCAGGCUCUGUGUUCAGUGGA
ensembl:snoRNA SNORD26 Small nucleolar RNA SNORD26